rnacentral:rRNA from 1 species
GUGGGGAAUAUUGGACAAUGGGGGGAACCCUGAUCCAGCCAUGCCGCGUGUGUGAAGAAGGCCUUUUGGUUGUAAAGCACUUUAAGCGAGGAGGAGGCUACCGAGAUUAAUACUCUUGGAUAGUGGACGUUACUCGCAGAAUAAGCACCGGCUAACUCUGUGCCAGCAGCCGCGGUAAUACAGAGGGUGCAAGCGUUAAUCGGAUUUACUGGGCGUAAAGCGCGCGUAGGUGGCCAAUUAAGUCAAAUGUGAAAUCCCCGAGCUUAACUUGGGAAUUGCAUUGGAUACUGGUUGGCUAGAGUAUGGGAGAGGAUGGUAGAAUUCCAGGUGUAGCGAUGAAAUGCGUAGAGAUCUGGAGGAAUACCGAUGGCGAAGGCAGCCAUCUGGCCUAAUACUGACACUGAGGUGCGAAAGCAUGGGGAGCAAACAGGAUUAGAAACCCCAGUAGUCC